rnacentral:snRNA from 1 species
GGAUGUGAGGGCGAUCUGGCUGCGACAUCUGUCACCCCAUUGAUCAUCAGGGUUUAUUUGGCUGAUAUGGCUGGCUAGACGGGUGUCCCCUUCCUCCCUCACCACUCCAUGUGCGUCCAUCCCAAAGCUGUACGCUUGAAGAGGAUGACCUUCCCCAAUAGAGGAGGACCAUUCUUUGGUCAAAGGUAUAUGAGUAGCUGUUCUCCCCUGCUAGAACCUCUAAACAAGCUCUAAAAAGAACAUUUAUUGUAUACCUACUUUGUUCCAGAUACUACAUGCACAGUAGAUACAAAGGUGAGCAAAUAGAGGUAAUGCACAUGGGUGGUAUUACUCA